rnacentral:rRNA from 1 species
GUGGGGAAUUUUGGACAAUGGGCGAAAGCCUGAUCCAGCAAUGCCGCGUGUGUGAAGAAGGCCUUCGGGUUGUAAACUGCUUUUGUACGGAACGAAACGGUCCUGGUUAAUACCUGGGGCUAAUGACGGUACCGUAAGAAUAAGCACCGGCUAACUACGUGCCAGCAGCCGCGGUAAUACGUAGGGUGCAAGCGUUAAUCGGAAUUACUGGGCGUAAAGCGUGCGCAGGCGGUUUUGUAAGACAGGCGUGAAAUCCCCGGGCUCAACCUGGGAAUUGCGCUUGUGACUGCAAGGCUGGAGUGCGGCAGAGGGGGAUGGAAUUCCGCGUGUAGCAGUGAAAUGCGUAGAUAUGCGGAGGAACACCGAUGGCGAAGGCAAUCCCCUGGGCCUGCACUGACGCUCAUGCACGAAAGCGUGGGGAGCAAACAGGAUUAGAAACCCCGGUAGC